rnacentral:rRNA from 1 species
AGACGUCUACAUUAGAUACCCGCGUAGUCCCAGCCGUAAACUAUGCGCGUUAGGUGUAUCGGUGACCACGAGUUACCGAGGUGCCGAAGGGAAACCGUGAAACGUGCCGCCUGGGAAGUACGGUCGCAAGGCUGAAACUUAAAGGAAUUGGCGGGGAGCACCACAACGGGUGGAGCCUGCGGUUUAAUUGGACUCAACGCCGGGAAGCUCACCGGAUAGGACAGCAGAAUGAUUGCCGGGCUGAAGACCCUGCAUGACUAGCUG